rnacentral:lncRNA from 1 species
UAAGGUGCAUCGAGGUGCUCUGAAAUUGAUGCUUAGUGGAGACCAGGAGCCAGCAACCAUGAUCUAUCAGUGUGGAGUCUUUGGAUGAAGGCAAUGCAACCAACCUGGUGGCUACAGCAAGUUUAGAGGUUAGCAGGAUUUUAUCCACGUAUUUUCAAGGCUAAAAGUACACGCAUCACAUGGGAUCUGAGGAUAAACAAGUGAUCAAGAAGUGAAUAUUCUGAGCUGAAAACACCCUGCAACAGGCCUCAACACAUUUCAGUUCACUGACCUAGAUAAUUAUGACUGUCUGAGAACAGGUUUCUGUUGCACCCCUUCCAUCAUCCCUUUUCCUGUCUGCAGUAUCUACACAAAGGUACUGUUGUUUUCAUUGCUUAUUUUUCUUUUUGUAGUAAUAGCACACUUUUGA